rnacentral:rRNA from 1 species
AGCGUACACGGUGGAUGCCCUGGCAGUCAGAGGCGAUGAAGGACGUGCUAAUCUGCGAUAAGCGUCGGUAAGGUGAUAUGAACCGUUAUAACCGGCGAUUUCCGAAUGGGGAAACCCAGUGUGAUUCGUCACACUAUCAUUAACUGAAUCCAUAGGUUAAUGAGGCGAACCGGGGGAACUGAAACAUCUAAGUACCCCGAGGAAAAGAAAUCAACCGAGAUUCCCCCAGUAGCGGCGAGCGAACGGGGAGCAGCCCAGAGCCUGAAUCAGUGUGUGUGUUAGUGGAAGCGUCUGGAAAGGCGUGCGAUACAGGGUGACAGCCCCGUACACAAAAAUGCACAUGCUGUGAGCUCGAUGAGUAGGGCGGGACACGUGGUAUCCUGUCUGAAUAUGGGGGGACCAUCCUCCAAGGCUAAAUACUCCUGACUGACCGAUAGUGAACCAGUACCGUGAGGGAAAGGCGAAAAGAACCCCGGCGAGGGGAGUGAAAAAGAACCUGAAACCGUGUACGUACAAGCAGUGGGAGCACGCUUAGGCGUGUGACUGCGUACCUUUUGUAUAAUGGGUCAGCGACUUAUAUUCUGUAGCAAGGUUAACCGAAUAGGGGAGCCGAAGGGAAACCGAGUCUUAACUGGGCGUUAAGUUGCAGGGUAUAGACCCGAAACCCGGUGAUCUAGCCAUGGGCAGGUUGAAGGUUGGGUAACACUAACUGGAGGACCGAACCGACUAAUGUUGAAAAAUUAGCGGAUGACUUGUGGCUGGGGGUGAAAGGCCAAUCAAACCGGGAGAUAGCUGGUUCUCCCCGAAAGCUAUUUAGGUAGCGCCUCGUGAAUUCAUCUCCGGGGGUAGAGCACUGUUUCGGCAAGGGGGUCAUCCCGACUUACCAACCCGAUGCAAACUGCGAAUACCGGAGAAUGUUAUCACGGGAGACACACGGCGGGUGCUAACGUCCGUCGUGAAGAGGGAAACAACCCAGACCGCCAGCUAAGGUCCCAAAGUCAUGGUUAAGUGGGAAACGAUGUGGGAAGGCCCAGACAGCCAGGAUGUUGGCUUAGAAGCAGCCAUCAUUUAAAGAAAGCGUAAUAGCUCACUGGUCGAGUCGGCCUGCGCGGAAGAUGUAACGGGGCUAAACCAUGCACCGAAGCUGCGGCAGCGACGCUUAUGCGUUGUUGGGUAGGGGAGCGUUCUGUAAGCCUGUGAAGGUGUACUGUGAGGUAUGCUGGAGGUAUCAGAAGUGCGAAUGCUGACAUAAGUAACGAUAAAGCGGGUGAAAAGCCCGCUCGCCGGAAGACCAAGGGUUCCUGUCCAACGUUAAUCGGGGCAGGGUGAGUCGACCCCUAAGGCGAGGCCGAAAGGCGUAGUCGAUGGGAAACAGGUUAAUAUUCCUGUACUUGGUGUUACUGCGAAGGGGGGACGGAGAAGGCUAUGUUGGCCGGGCGACGGUUGUCCCGGUUUAAGCGUGUAGGCUGGUUUUCCAGGCAAAUCCGGAAAAUCAAGGCUGAGGCGUGAUGACGAGGCACUACGGUGCUGAAGCAACAAAUGCCCUGCUUCCAGGAAAAGCCUCUAAGCAUCAGGUAACAUCAAAUCGUACCCCAAACCGACACAGGUGGUCAGGUAGAGAAUACCAAGGCGCUUGAGAGAACUCGGGUGAAGGAACUAGGCAAAAUGGUGCCGUAACUUCGGGAGAAGGCACGCUGAUAUGUAGGUGAAGUCCCUCGCGGAUGGAGCUGAAAUCAGUCGAAGAUACCAGCUGGCUGCAACUGUUUAUUAAAAACACAGCACUGUGCAAACACGAAAGUGGACGUAUACGGUGUGACGCCUGCCCGGUGCCGGAAGGUUAAUUGAUGGGGUUAGCGCAAGCGAAGCUCUUGAUCGAAGCCCCGGUAAACGGCGGCCGUAACUAUAACGGUCCUAAGGUAGCGAAAUUCCUUGUCGGGUAAGUUCCGACCUGCACGAAUGGCGUAAUGAUGGCCAGGCUGUCUCCACCCGAGACUCAGUGAAAUUGAACUCGCUGUGAAGAUGCAGUGUACCCGCGGCAAGACGGAAAGACCCCGUGAACCUUUACUAUAGCUUGACACUGAACAUUGAGCCUUGAUGUGUAGGAUAGGUGGGAGGCUUUGAAGUGUGGACGCCAGUCUGCAUGGAGCCGACCUUGAAAUACCACCCUUUAAUGUUUGAUGUUCUAACGUUGACCCGUGAUCCGGGUUGCGGACAGUGUCUGGUGGGUAGUUUGACUGGGGCGGUCUCCUCCUAAAGAGUAACGGAGGAGCACGAAGGUUGGCUAAUCCUGGUCGGACAUCAGGAGGUUAGUGCAAUGGCAUAAGCCAGCUUGACUGCGAGCGUGACGGCGCGAGCAGGUGCGAAAGCAGGUCAUAGUGAUCCGGUGGUUCUGAAUGGAAGGGCCAUCGCUCAACGGAUAAAAGGUACUCCGGGGAUAACAGGCUGAUACCGCCCAAGAGUUCAUAUCGACGGCGGUGUUUGGCACCUCGAUGUCGGCUCAUCACAUCCUGGGGCUGAAGUAGGUCCCAAGGGUAUGGCUGUUCGCCAUUUAAAGUGGUACGCGAGCUGGGUUUAGAACGUCGUGAGACAGUUCGGUCCCUAUCUGCCGUGGGCGCUGGAGAACUGAGGGGGGCUGCUCCUAGUACGAGAGGACCGGAGUGGACGCAUCACUGGUGUUCGGGUUGUCAUGCCAAUGGCACUGCCCGGUAGCUAAAUGCGGAAGAGAUAAGUGCUGAAAGCAUCUAAGCACGAAACUUGCCCCGAGAUGAGUUCUCCCUGACUCCUUGA